rnacentral:rRNA from 1 species
AACUACCCCUCUGGAGCGCGACAACCUCGGGAAACUGAGGCUAAUCGCGCGUACCGCUCUCAGGCUGGAACUGCCGAGAGCGCGAAAUGCUCCGGCGCCAGAGGAUGUGGCUGCGGCCGAUUAGGUAGACGGUGGGGUAACGGCCCACCGUGCCAGUAAUCGGUACGGGUUGUGAGAGCAAGAGCCCGGAGACGGUAUCUGAGACAAGAUACCGGGCCCUACGGGGCGCAGCAGGCGCGAAACCUUUACACUGCACGCCAGUGCGAUAAGGGGACUCCAAGUGCGAGGGCAUAACGUCCUCGCUUUUCGUGACCGUAAGGUGGUCACAGAAUAAAGGCUGGGCAAGACCGGUGCCAGCCGCCGCGGUAAUACCGGCAGCCUGAGUGAUGGCCGCUCUUAUUGGGCCUAAAGCGUCCGUAGCUGGCCGCGCAAGUCCAUCGGGAAAUCUGUCCGCUUAACGGACAGGCGUCCGGUGGAAACUGUGCGGCUUGGGACCGGAAGACCAGAGGGGUACGUCCGGGGUAGGAGUGAAAUCCUGUAAUCCUGGACGGACCACCGGUGGCGAAAGCGCCUCUGGAAGACGGAUCCGACGGUGAGGGACGAAAGCUCGGGUCACGAACCGGAUUAGAUACCCGGGUAGUCCGAGCUGUAAACGAUGUCUGCUAGGUGUGGCACAGGCUACGAGCCUGUGCUGUGCCGUAGGGAAGCCGUGAAGCAGACCGCCUGGGAAGUACGUCCGCAAGGAUGAAACUUAAAGGAAUUGGCGGGGGAGCAC